rnacentral:rRNA from 1 species
AAUCAACGCUGGCGGCGUGCCUCAGACAUGCAAGUCGAACGAUUAAAGCUCUCUUCGGAGAGUGCAUAAAGUGGCGCACGGGUGAGUAACACGUAAGUAAUCUACCUUCGAGUGGGGAAUAACGUCCGGAAACGGACGCUAAUACCGCAUAACGCAGCGGCAUCGCAAGAUGACAGUUGUUAAAGAUUUAUCGCUUGAAGAGGAGCUUGCGGCAGAUUAGCUUGUUGGUAAGGUAACGGCUUACCAAGGCUACGAUCUGUAUCCGGUCUAAGAGGACGGUCGGACACACUGACACUGAAUAACGGGUCAGACUCCUAC